UCUGGUGGCGUAUAUAUGCGUUGCACCAUAAGCGAAGAUGAGCUUGUUGGGUUAUAUGUUGGGUAAUUUUGAAGCAGAGCCAGCUUAAUAGAUACAUAGCUGUUUCUCAAUAUUACUUUCUCUAGUCCACAAAAUGUAUUUUAAACAUAAGUUCAGGCGAGAAUAUAUAUGUAUAAUGUUCAAAUUUGCAGUCGGUUUGUAAAGUGAACGCCAAUUUUAAAGUUUAAUUACACAAAGUCGGAAUGUUACCGGCGUGACCACCGGGUGUCAGUGUUGUUCUUCCCCAGAGAGAACUCCUCCCAUCCCCCCACACAGACGCGUCAUCUCAGCUGAACUCCUGGCUCUCACUGCAAGGAUACUUGACGCGGGAGUUUACCUCAGGAUUCAUGAACAGUUUUUCAUCGACUUAUUUCUGAUUUAUUUGAAGGAAAAGACCCUGAUGGAUAAAAGAUGGAUAUUUUUUCCUGGAGAAGCUAAAACAAUGUAACUUUGAGGUUCUGAUACCAGCUUUUAAAAAGUUAUUUACAGAGUUCACCAGACUUCUCUGUGUUAUUUCCUGACCAUGCCGAAAAGCUAUUUGAAACUUGGGCAUUGCAUUUUCCAGACAGAAUCCUGCACUUCCCAGCCAAGAACCAGGAGCAUCAACAAAUCACCUCCAGAACCCCAUGAUGAUAUUCCAACUCCUGUCUACAAAAGUGGGAAGAAAAUCUUAAGUCUAUGUUGGGACCAACAUGGUUGCAUUCUUCUGAGAGGCUGAUGUGACAAAACCAUUCCCAUUUGUCCUUGGAUUGGAAGAUGGCGAUCUCUGCCAUCAAGCCUUCGUUGUUUUUGACAGACAGUCACUCCAGCAAUACACCCUCCUUGGUGAUGUUGACAUGUUUUAAACUUUUUUUUUAUGUUUUGGACAUGAAUUUUACUAAGCAGUGCACAUCAGUGUGGGUGUUUUUGAAGACUGUUGUUUACAAACUCCCAAGAACGGAAUCCCUUUCUAUAAGAAGUCUGUGUAGUUAUUUGUCAUGCUAAGGUGAUAACUCAUGUUGAUCAUAUAUUGACUGUUUGUGCAACUUUGUGUUGAUCUUAUGUGUUACAUUAACCAUUUCUUAUUACACGGUUCUCUAAAAUGCUAGAUUCUGAUUGGCCAGUCGUGACAUUCUACUACUGCUCAAAACUAAAAACUCCAAUGCUGCAAAUCAUUUUGGCAGGUACAGUUUUAUAUUACACAAAAAUUAAAUAUCAAUGUCUAUUAAUUACAUAUCCGACAUUAAAUUUAUAAAUGAUUAAAUGUGUUCGUGACCUUUGUCCUGAAGAAACUGUUGGGGCUUUUUUCUGUGAUGACAUGCUGCCAAUACAUUAUCCCUUACUUGUACAACUUUUUACU